ensembl:miRNA MIR6808 microRNA 6808
GGGGCCAGGCAGGGAGGUGGGACCAUGGGGGCCUUGCUGUGUGACCACCGUUCCUGCAG